rnacentral:rRNA from 1 species
AUUGAACGCUGGCGGCAGGCCUAACACAUGCAAGUCGAGCGGAUGAAGGGAGCUUGCUCCUGGAUCCCGCGGCGGACGGGUGAGUAAUGCCUAGGAAUCUGCCUGGUAGUGGGGGAUAACGUCCGGAAACGGGCGCUAAUACCGCAUACGUCCUGAGGGAGAAAGUGGGGGAUCUUCGGACCUCACGCUAUCAGAUGAGCCUAGGUCGGAUUAGCUAGUUGGUGGGGUAAAGGCCUACCAAGGCGACGAUCCGUAACUGGUCUGAGAGGAUGAUCAGUCACACUGGAACUGAGACACGGUCCAGACUCCUACGGGAGGCAGCAGUGGGGAAUAUUGGACAAUGGGCGAAAGCCUGAUCCAGCCAUGCCGCGUGUGUGAAGAAGGUCUUCGGAUUGUAAAGCACUUUAAGUUGGGAGGAAGGGCAGUAAGUUAAGACCUUGCUGUUUUGACGUUACCAACAGAAUAAGCACCGGCUAACUUCGUG